GGACUCGGGGGGAAGUAUGCUCGCAAGAGUGAAACUUAAAGGAAUUGACGGAAGGGCACCACCAGAUGUGGAGCCUGCGGCUUAAUUUGACUCAACACGGGAAAACUUACCAGGUCCAGACAUAGUCAGGAUUGACAGAUUGAAGUUCUUUCAUGAUUCUAUGCAUGGUGGUGCAUGGCCGUUCUUAGUUCGUGGAUUGCUCUGUUAGGUUAAUUCCAUUAACGAACGAGACCCCAGCCAUCUAACUAGCUGUCGCUACUCCAGUAGCGUUUGUAUAUGCCUUAGGCAAGCAAGGUCAGCUUCUUAGAGGGACAGCCUGCGUUAGCAGGAGGAAGUUUGGGGCAAUAACAGGUCAGUGAUGCCCUUAGAUGCUCUGGGCUGCACGCGCGCUACAAUGGUGCAUUCAGUGAGCAUAACCGAGCUUGAAAAGGCCCGGUAAUCUUCAAAGUGCAUCUUAGUUGGGAUAGAUGAUUGCAAUUAUUCAUCUUGAACAAGAAUAUCUAGUAAACGCAAGUCAUCAACUUGCAAUGAUUACGUCCCCUGCCCUUUGUACACWCCGCCCGUSGCUCCUWCCGAUUGAAUAAUCCCGUGAAUUGAGUGGGAUUGGAACCUUUUUGCGCAAAAGGGUCCAAWAACUCUGUGAACC
rnacentral:rRNA from 1 species